rnacentral:rRNA from 1 species
UACGGAGGAGGCAAGCGUUAUCCGGAAUUAUUGGGCGUAAAGCGUCCGUAGGUGGUUGGCCAAGUCUGCUGUCAAAGGGUGGGGCUUAACCUCAUAAAGGCAGUGGAACCUGGCGAGCUAGAGUGCGGUAGGGGGAGGGGGAAUUCCCAGUGUAGCGGUGAAAUGCGUAGAGAUUGGGAAGAACAUCGGUGGCGAAAGCGGCCUGCUGGGCCUGCACUGACACUGAGGGACGAAAGCUAGGGGAGCGAAAGGG